rnacentral:tRNA from 1 species
UACUUGGUGGCUCAGUGGUAGAGCACCCGCCUGCCAUGCUGGGGGCCGGGGUUCGUAUCCCGGCCCCCAGAAC